CUUUGCUCCCAGAUUGGUGGAACAGAGAGUCAUCACUUUAAAAGUGCAGCACACUGGUUUUUGCAGCCUCCCCUCCUCAUGCUCAUCUUCAUUCCUGCAGUAACAGCAAAUGCACUGACUUUUACCUUGACACUGGAAAACACCUGUGCUUAAGCAGGGGUUAAAAAAUACAUCCUCUGAAAAGCAAAGCACAACUUAUCUGGUAUCAGCAAAGCAUCCAGGCAUAGACACCAUUUUUAUUUCUUUCUUUUCAAAGAGCUGUCCUUGAUCCAAAGGACCAGCAACAUCCACCCUUAAAGCAACUGCUGUGGUAGCUGAAGUGUCACCUGGAGGCUCCCAGUGACUGCAGAACUGGAGUCUGGUGGGUACUUGCGUGGAAACAGAAUUACACAGACACAAGACCAAGGAACACAGGAAAGAGAGAAGGGAAAAACAAGGGCUGCUUAAAGAUUUAAUCUGCAUCACUCUCAGCUUCUCAGUACAAGGAAACCCCAGGCUGAGCACCAUGCACCACUUUAAUCACUUCCUCUGCCCUGCAUUCCAGAGGACCUUAAAAACUUGUUGACACCUGUCUGGGGAUUGAAAAGCUUCAAUUUCAGCAGGUGCUUGUGGGCUCCCAAAGUAUUUACGGGAGCAAACUGGCAAAACCUUGUCAUCCCCAAUCCCUGCAGUGAAGCUGCAACAAACAGCAUGGCCAGACUGCAAAGGCUUCUGCUCACUGAAAUCCCCAUCAAAAAGCUACGCUAUCUCCCCCAAAACUCAGUGACAGUUCUUCACAAAGCAAAGCAGUCGACCUUUCCAAGCCUCAUUAAUCUGCUGGAGCUGCCACAGCCAAGAGCUGAAGGGAAAAGCAGAGGAAACUUGAAUUGGAAAAUAUUUUGACAUAAUUGACCCAGAUGACAAACUAAGCUUAAGCACAUGUCAAGCACGGGGAGUGGUACAAAAGCAUCGGCUGGGUGAUAGAGGAAGCUAAACCAAGCCAAGGCGAAGUCAGAGCCCUGGGAACAGUGUAUAUUUUUGUAAUUACUGGUAAUUGAAAAAAAAGAAAAGAUUCCUUCAGUCCUAGCCCUUAAGUAACAGCAAAUAAAAGGUCAGGAAGAUUUUCUCCUUUU